UACGUAGGCAGCAAGCGUUGUUCGGAGCUACUGGGCGUAAAGGGUGCGUAGGCUGCUUCUUAAGACUGGUGUGAAAUCUCCCGGCUCAACUGGGAGGGUGCGCCGGAUACUGAGGGGCUAGAGUGUGGGAGAGGAAAGUGGAAUUCCUGGUGUAGCGGUGAAAUGCGUAGAUAUCAGGAGGAACACCGGUGGUGUAAACGGCUUUCUGGACCAUAACUGACGCUGAGGCACGAAAGCGUGGGUAGCAAACAGG
rnacentral:rRNA from 1 species